ACUUUGACUAUGUUUAAAAUGUCGCUAAGAUUUUCUUUGUCUUAGCUAUAUUAAGGAAAAAUAUAGCCAAAGAACGUUAGUUACCAAAUCCUUAAUGCCUGUUGCUUGUUUUUAAUUUUUUAACAGAAAUAUUGACAAUACACUCUGCGUCAGAACAUAAAGAUGUUAUCCAAAAUUCUCUUGGUAGUAUAUACAGCUUUCCAGACUACAUAUCUCCAAGAAAAAUCUUGGAUUACUUUAAACAUAUCAUUUAAGAAUCUGAAAAAUGUUCUUACCUUAAACAAUUUAAACAAAUGCGAUUUUGUGAGUUUUUUGAUUGAUAUCGUCUCAGUGGACUCAAGGACAAUCUCACUUUCUCAUCCAUCUCCUUGUGAUAAAAUGACAGGCAUUUCAAGAGAUAAGAGGCAGGCUGCUGCCCACUCAAAAGUAUCAUUCCACCCAUCAGACAGAGCUCCCAAAUUAAGGAUCGUAGCAAUUACACACAAGCAACAGCAUGGAAAAGAAGCCAGUGCUGCAGAGGUGAUCUGGAUCCAGGAAGAAAGGGAAGAUACCUUCAAUCAAAAAGAGACCACGUCUGCAGAAAACUUUUGGAUGCAACACAGCUGGUUCGCUUCAGGGGACACAUUCUCAGAAAUGGCCGGAUGA
rnacentral:lncRNA from 10 species